GUUACAUGAUUUCUUUUUCUUUUUCUUUAUUUUUCUGCGAGCCAGGCUAUACAGCGAGAGUGACACUGUGUAGCCCUGGCUGGCCUGGAACUCCCAGAGUAGACCAGGUUGGCCUGGAACAGAAUUUGGCCUGGCUCUGUCUUCGGAGUGGUAGGAUUAAAGGCAUGGGUGACUACGCCUGGCAAUGUGAACGUUUUAUAAUUCUAGACCAAAAGUCAUAUAUCAAGGCAAUUUCAAAACCUUGGCGGAAACACCAGAUAAGAUUUGCUGAUGAUCCAUGUCUUCAAGAAUGCAAGUAACGAUGUAGGAAGAGGAAAGAUCACCACUGGGCCACUUAUAUAUGUAAACUGCCUACACGUGUCCUUCAAAUUCUGGAAGAAAGUGUUCCAGUAUUUCACCACCAUCCUUUCAGGAUGGAAGCCAUCAAUGUGUCUCAUGGUUCAUUUUCUAGGGACCCAUGCUACUUUUAUAAUGAAAGGACAGAGAUGGACAGGAUGGUGUCUGACUGCCUGACAAAUAGUUACCAGGUGUGACUAAAGCGUAUCCUGCCAUUACACCCAUAAGGCUGACACAUUUCCAUGUAGGCAGACAUUUUUCUCCAGAGUUUCUGGAACAAAAUAAAACUUUAUUCGAGGA